rnacentral:rRNA from 1 species
GGGAAACUUUGAGUGCAGAAGAGGAGAGUGGAAUUUCCACGUGUAGCGGUGAAAUGCGUAGAGAUGUGGAGGAACACCAGUGGCGAAGGCGACUCUCUGGUCUGUAACUGACGCUGAGGAGCGAAAGCGUGGGGAGCGAACAGGAUUAGAUACCCUGGUAGUCCACGCCGUAAACGAUGAGUGCUAAGUGUUAGGGGGUUUCCGCCCCUUAGUGCUGCAGCUAACGCAUUAAGCACUCCGCCUGGGGAGUACGGUCGCAAGACUGAAACUCAAAGGAAUUGACGGGGGCCCGCACAAGCGGUGGAGCAUGUGGUUUAAUUCGAAGCAACGCGAAGAACCUUACCAGGUCUUGACAUCCUCUGACAAUCCUAGAGAUAGGACGUCCCCUUCGGGGGCAGAGUGACAGGUGGUGCAUGGUUGUCGUCAGCUCGUGUCGUGAGAUGUUGGGUUAAGUCCCGCAACGAGCGCAACCCUUGAUCUUAGUUGCCAGCAUUCAGUUGGGCACUCUAAGGUGACUGCCGGUGACAAACCGGAGGAAGGUGGGGAUGACGUCAAAUCAUCAUGCCCCUUAUGACCUGGGCUACACACGUGCUACAAUGGACAGAA